CCUUAUGAUGACUUUUAUACAACGAAUUUCUUCACCCGAAUCAUACUUGUGGAUUAACAUACAUUGAGCUUUUUAACCCUGAUA
rnacentral:snoRNA from 1 species